rnacentral:rRNA from 1 species
UGGGGAAUAUUGCACAAUGGGCGAAAGCCUGAUGCAGCGACGCCGCGUGAGGGAUGACGGCCUUCGGGUUGUAAACCUCUUUCAGCAGGGACGAAGCGCAAGUGACGGUACCUGCAGAAGAAGCACCGGCUAACUACGUGCCAGCAGCCGCGGUAAUACGUAGGGUGCAAGCGUUGUCCGGAAUUACUGGGCGUAAAGAGUUCGUAGGCGGUUUGUCGAGUCGUUUGUGAAAACCAGCAGCUCAACUGCUGGCUUGCAGGCGAUACUGGCAGACUUGAGUACUGCAGGGGAGACUGGAAUUCCUGGUGUAGCGGUGAAAUGCGCAGAUAUCAGGAGGAACACCGGUGGCGAAGGCGGGUCUCUGGGCAGUAACUGACGCUGAGGAACGAAAGCGUGGGUAGCGAACAGG